CGGGUGAGUAACGCGUGGCAACCUGCCUUACACAGGGGGAUAACACUUAGAAAUAGGUGCUAAUACCGCAUAAGCGCACAGCUUUGCAUGAAGCAGUGUGAAAAACUCCGGUGGUGUAAGAUGGACCCGCGUCUGAUUAGCUGGUUGGCAGGGUAAAGGCCUACCAAGGCGACGAUCAGUAGCCGGCCUGAGAGGGUGAACGGCCACAUUGGGACUGAGACACGGCCCAGACUCCUACGGGAGGCAGCAG
rnacentral:rRNA from 1 species